UGCCGCUCGCGGCAGGCUUACACAUGCAAGUCGAGCGCCYYGCAGGGGAGCGGCAGACGGGUGAGUAACGCGUGGGAACGUACCAUUUGCUACGGAAUAACUCAGGGAAACUUGUGCUAAUACCGUAUGUGCCCUUCGGGGGAAAGAUUUAUCGGCAAAUGAUCGGCCCGCGUUGGAUUAGCUAGUUGGUGGGGUAAAGGCUCACCAAGGCGACGAUCCAUAGCUGGUCUGAGAGGAUGAUCAGCCACACUGGGACUGAGACACGGCCCAGACUCCUACGGGAGGCAGCAGUGGGGAAUAUUGGACAAUGGGCGCAAGCCUGAUCCAGCCAUGCCGCGUGAGUGAUGAAGGCCCUAGGGUUGUAAAGCUCUUUCACCGGUGAAGAUAAUGACGGUAACCGGAGAAGAAGCCCCGGCUAACUUCGUGCCAGCAGCCGYKKUAAUAA
rnacentral:rRNA from 1 species